rnacentral:snoRNA from 12 species
UGUCCUGAUGAGAUUGGUAAUAGGAAGUGCCGUCAGAAGCGAUAACUGACGAUAUCUGCGUUUGUCUGACU